rnacentral:rRNA from 1 species
GUUCGUGGAUUAAUUUGUCUGGUUAAUUCCGUUAACGAACGAGACCUUAACUUGCUAAUUGGGAUCUGGUAUUCUAUACUAUAUCCUGUUAGAAGGACCAUGUGUGUCUAACACAAGGAAGCGUGAGGCAAUAACAGGU